rnacentral:rRNA from 1 species
UACGAAGGUCCCGAGCGUUGUUCGGAAUCACUGGGCGUAAAGGGAGCGUAGGCGGCGCGGUAAGUCAGAUGUGAAAUCCCGGGGCUCAACCCCGGAACUGCAUCCGAUACUGCCGUGCUAGAGGAUUGGAGAGGUAGCUGGAAUUCUUGGUGUAGCAGUGAAAUGCGUGGAGAUCAAGAGGAACACUCGUGGCGAAAGCGAGCUACUGGACAAUAAUCUGACGCUGAGGC